UACGGAGGGUGCGAACGUUAAUCGGAAUCACUGGGCGUAAAGCGCGCGUAGGCGGUUUGUUAAGUGGGAUGUGAAAGCCCCGGGCUUAACCUGGGAAUUGCAUUUCAAACUAGCGAACUAGAGUGCGGUAGAGGGAGGUAGAAUUUCCUGUGUAGCGGUGAAAUGCGUAGAUAUAGGAAGGAAUACCAGUGGCGAAGGCGGCCUCCUGGAUCGACACUGACGCUAAGGCGCGAAAGCGUGGGGAGCAAACAGG
rnacentral:rRNA from 1 species